rnacentral:rRNA from 1 species
AACGAACGCUGGCGGCAGGCUUAACACAUGCAAGUCGAACGCUCGUAGCAAUACGGGAGUGGCGGACGGGUGAGUAACGCGUGGGAACGUGCCCUGAGGUACGGAAUAACUGCGGGAAACUGCAGCUAAUACCGUAUGAGCCCCGUGAGGGGGAAAGAUUUAUCGCCUUAGGAGCGGCCCGCGUCGGAUUAGCUAGUUGGUGGGUAACGGCUUACCAAGGCUUCGAUCCGUAGCUGGUCUGAGAGGACGAUCAGCCACACUGGGACUGAGACACGGCCCAGACUCCUACGGGAGGCAGCAGUGGGGAAUCUUGCGCAAUGGGGGCAACCCUGACGCAGCCAUGCCGCGUGAAUGAUGAAGGCCUUAGGGUUGUAAAGUUCUUUUGCCCGUGACGAUGAUGACGGUACCGUAGAAGAAGCCCGGCUAACUUCGUG